rnacentral:lncRNA from 1 species
UGGCCUUUAAGACUGUGAAAUAACAGAAAACCCCAAUGAAUCUAGUUUACUUCAGAGAGCUGUAAAGAUUUUACAGAGCAAUUUUCAUUAGUCUUUGCUUUUUCUCCAGACCCAAGUGACCACCUGGUAAUUACUUCAACAGCAGAGCGACUCAUACAGCCGGCAGUCCACUUUGUUCUUCUAUAGAUCCUGCCUGUGGUGUUGGAUCUAACAGCUUCUUCCCUGACCCAAGAUUAUGAAGGAUUUCUCCUGUGUUCUCUUCUAAAAAUUUUACAUUUAGGUCCUGGGCUUUCUCUGCUAGAAGAGGCUGAAUUCCUGGAGUACCUAGAGUACAGAGCUGGUGAAUGACCUCUUAUCUCCCUGCUCUAGCCUGUCCUAUGUAACUUGGUCCCAGCCACCUCUCCUGUGGACUUUUCCUUCUUCUGAGCUUUUCCAGAUGCUGGGCUGAGCACAGAUUCUGGUUUGAUGGCAUCUAGUCUGCAGGAAAACAUAGUUUGGCUUUGACCAGCACCUGAUAGACUCUUCUGCUCUUUUGGACUAGUCUUCUAGACACUAAUGGCAGUGGAAUUUGACCUUCUGGUCUUCCUUUUAUGUUUGCUAAAAUAAAUGAAGCCAGUAAUCCCAACAGAUAACCCAGUAUUCCCACCACAUGGCUCAGGACUGCCCCCAUUCGAGGUCUGUGAUCCUGAGCAUCUUUCACCAACAAAUAUACCACUACUAAUCAUUAAGGUGACGGUUUACUGAAAUCCUGCUGAAUACUAAGCCAGGUGCUGGUUGUUUCACAUAACUUAUCUCCAAUCCUUUCAUCAUUCUGCAAGAUAGUAAUUAGUAUUGCAAUUUAACAUUUAAAUGGAGGCCCAGAGAAGUUAAGUAACUUCUCAAGGUAACACAGCACAACACAUCAUUAGCUUCCUUUCAUACCUUUUCUUUAUUUCUUCCUGAUUCUUUUCUCCAAAUGUAUCUCUAAGGAGCUCUCCUUAGCCCUGUCCUCCUCUCUCUUGAUGAUUUCCCCUGUAUUAUACUUUCUUCUGGCUUCUGCUCUUAUAUCUAUGUGGAUGACUUCUAAAAUGGCAGUUCCAACAGUGGCCCAUCUACGUUGUCCAAGAAAGGCCUUUAGAAGUCCCAUUAAUGUCUUAACAUAUCUUAACCUAUCACUUGUCUUUACCCUUAAACCUGCUCUUUCUCUGUCUUUGAGAACAUGUCCACUCUCUGGCACUCAAGUUCACAGUCUUGGUAUUCUUAUGGGCAGAUUCUCCUUUUCACUCACCUACUCUGACACUCAGUCACUAAGUCUGGCCCUUCUCCUCCAUUCUCUUGAUGGUGAGUCCUAUUCAGUAUCUCAUUAUCUCCCACCUGGCUGAUUGCAAUAGCUUUCUUCAAAUCUCUCUGCUGUUAUUCUCCUUGUCCUCCUCCUUCUUAGACCCUGUGGCAAGAUUUUGUCUUGGAAACACCUCCUUGCCUCAGGAGCCGCUGGUAGACCAGCAGCCUCCAUGAUCCAGCCCAAGCUACUUUCCCAACCUAGUUCCCCAUGAUUCCCCUGCAUGUCCCAUUUGUACCAGCAAACCAAGCAACUCACUUUCCCAGAGUAUGUACUCAAUUCUAUUCCCUGAGUGCGCGCACACACACACACACACACACACACACACACACACACACACAGAGUGCAGUUUUGCUUAUGAUGUCAUGGAAUGUUCACAAAGGAGGUGACAUAGGAGCCAAAUCCUUGGGAAAGGAGCAGUUAGGCAGCUGUCUAAGAAGGGGCAGGG